AUUGAACGCUGGCGGCAUGCUUUACACAUGCAAGUCGAACGGCAGCGCGGGCUUCGGCCUGGCGGCGAGUGGCGAACGGGUGAGUAAUACAUCGGAACGUGCCCAGUAGUGGGGGAUAGCUCGGCGAAAGCCGGAUUAAUACCGCAUACGACCUGAGGGUGAAAGCGGGGGAUCUUCGGACCUCGCGCUAUUGGAGCGGCCGAUGGCAGAUUAGCUAGUUGGUGGGGUAAAGGCCUACCAAGGCGACGAUCUGUAGCUGGUCUGAGAGGACGACCAGCCACACUGGGACUGAGACACGGCCCAGACUACUACGGGAGGCAGCAGUGGGGAAUUUUGGACAAUGGGCGAAAGCCUGAUCCAGCAAUGCCGCGUGUGUGAUGAAGGCCUUCGGGUUGUAAAGCACUUUUGGCGGGAACGAAAAGGACUGUGCCAAUACCACGGUUCGAUGACGGUACCCGCAGAAUAAGCACCGGCUAACUACGU
rnacentral:rRNA from 1 species